GAUUGGGUGGAGAAGAUGCAUGCCAGAAGAUCAGCUUCAUCCAUGAAGUCUGAGUUGUGUGCUGAUCAAAGAGUUAAUCUUGGCAUGGCAGCCCUCCUUGACAUGACUUUUAGCCUCUGAGUUUAUGGCAGUGCUUUUGAUAAGGCUCAUUGAUGAAGGUCUUUCUAAUGCUUUGAUCCUUGGACCAGCUUGAUCCUGCAUUCUUACAUUAGUGGGUGAUAGCACUGAACUUCCAGAAGCAGUGGUCUUCAUUUCAUCUGGCAAAUGCUUGUAAAGUGGGUUCUGCCCUUAUAAGUAAAGAACAGAGGAGCCAAAGGUUGGCUUGGAAUACUCAGAGACAGCACUGCUUGACAGAAGAUACCCUGCAAUCCUAAUGUCCUCAAAAGUACAACGCCCAAGAGUAUGAACUUCCUGGAGCUGCUUUGCACUUGAUGCAAUCCUGGUCUCAGUAGAGAGGCCUUGCAAGUGGAGCUGGAGGUCUCGGGUAGAGGAGAACAUGGACUCGGUGGUGCCAGCAUUCCUCAGGUUGGUUGACUAUGUGUUGUGUUUGUGUGUAUGCACGUGUGUGUGUUCAACAUGCCGUGUGUGUGGAUGUCAGAGGACAACAGUAGCUACAUCAUGGAAAUUAUGUGAGUUUAGAAUAUUGAACUCAGGUUGUCAGGCUUUAGAGCCAGCUCACUGAUCCAUUUUGCUGGCCCCAUUCUUCACCUUAAUAGUGUCUCCCAAAGCCACAAGAAAAUCAAGAGACUAUC